rnacentral:lncRNA from 1 species
UUGCAUCAUCAGCCACCACUACAAUCAGAUUUGUAGUGUGAAAUGGCUCUCUAGUUCUACUCUUCAUUGGCACAAGUGUGAUACCUGGAGGGUACUCCUGAUACAAAAGCAUGUUCGCAAUUAAAUAUAGCAGCAUUUCUUGUGUAAGACACAGUUAUUUGACUUAAUGAAGAAAUUCAACUACCCAGUAUAAGGGCUAAAGAGCAGAUUAAAUAAUAUACCAUGAUGUCAUAAGAACUUAGAUAUUUUCACUGAACAAUAAAGAAAUAUCUUAUAAGUCUGAUAAAAGGUAAAAUAUGAAUUUAUUUUGUUUAAUCUAAAAAUCAAUCAAAAGACAAAGACCAGACAAAUUCAGAUAUGCAUACACAGGAAUAUCAACAAGUAUCCUCAUAAAAUAAAGCAAAAAUAGGUAGAUUAGCAGACCUGAUCCAUAAUAACUUGGAAUUUCAACAUAUCGCUUAUUAUAGAAUUUCAAUCUUGUUCGGCAUAUGCUUUCAUCAGACAUCAAAUAAUGGCAUGAUUGUAAUAAGAGGUCCUAAUUUUUUUGGCAAACAGUAGCAUAGCAUUUAAGUUCCUGCAACAAUUUCUCAUAGUAAACGUGAAAAAUUGAAUCAUGCACCUAAUAAAGAUAACUUUAAGAACAAGGAAAAAAAGUUAAUGAAGGAAGAACAAGAUGAUUUGAAGUAUUUAAACCAUCUGAUGGCGAAAAGUCAGGGGGAACCAGAGAACCUGAUAAUGCAAGGUGCAAGUUGCUGAAACAUUGGUAGCUUUUGCUACGCCAGGAACAAUUCCCAUGAAUACAAAAGGCCCUACACGUGUGGCACUUGCCUUUACUUCCUGAAGCAACAUCAAGGCACUCUCUUUUGACAACCACUGGCUUGACUCUACGAAAGCAUCAAUAGACAAUGUGGUUAAAGUACUAUAACAAGAAACAAAAAUUUCGUAUGUUUUGCAAAUUACCCAAGAAAUACAUAACAAGCAAGAGGGUCAACUAGGCAGUGUUCCAAGUAAAUAAGCUAGAUCUGAGAGACAAAACUGUCCAUCCUUACAACUCUGCUUCACAAAUUAUAUGAGAAAGAAAAUAUCCUCACUUGUCAUAAAUUUGGGAUUUACUUUGCAGACAUAAAAGAAGAAGAUACCUUCACUUACUGUAACCUAUCGUCACUUUCUAACUCUUCUUCAUUCAUCGUCCAUACUGACAAAGCAUGGGAUCCGUGUCUUCUUACAGAUAUGUCAAUCCUCCCCCGUCUGAAGCUUCUCUAUGGCUAUACGCUCUAAUCCAAGCUCUUGAAAAUUUUUAAGACCUUUACACUCAAAAAUCUUAAUUGCGGAUAACCAAGUGGGAUAAACUUCACCAGAAUUAGUAGAACUAUCCAAUACAACACAUAUUAUGCUUUGGUAACUCUUUAAUAAAUUUAUUAAAAACAAGUACACUUAAAGUUCAACAAAAUUAAAUGGAAGUAUAAGACUGCAAGGUAGAAGAUUAAUGCCACCAGAGCAACUUUAUCCUAGAAUAGAAUACAUAAAAUGCAUGAGAUCCCACUAUGACAG